GUGAGCCAUGUAGCCUGGAAGGAGAAUUUACCGUAUGAUCAAACCCAAGCCAAGACAAAGCUGGGCUGAGCUGCCCGGCAACAGGAGUGGGGUUUUCACGGGUCUUGUCACCUGAUUCUAAAAGGCACUUUCCCACAUAUUCCCAGCCAUGGUGGACCACUGUGGAUGUCCCCAAAAGGCUGGUUCCCAGGGGACUCUGUACCAGCGGGUCUGUGGGAAGUGCAGCUGAGACCUUUGGGGUUCUGUGUCAUCUUCCCUCCUGCAGAUCGGGGUCAGGGGGCAGCUCUGGCCCUGGGCGCAGAUCCCCCUACUCUCUGGCUGGACGCUGCUCAGGGUCCCUGGAAGGUCCCUUCCUUUGCAAAUGCUCCGUGUGUCACUGACCCGCUGUGGAAAGGCAUUUGCCUAGAUGCUGCUGUGGGGGGCGGGGGGAGGGGGGGGCGAGGACAGGUGAAGCCAGGAGCUGCCAGCCCAGAAAUAGAAUCAUAUGAAGUGUGGAGUUGCGUGUCUGGUCUCUCUCACUAGCAGUGACUCAUUCAUGCUGUUGCACACAUCAGCACGUCAUUCCUUUUUAUGGGUGAAUAAUACUCUGCUGUACGGACACACGUUAUCCAUCAUCUGCUGAUGGACACUUGGGUUGUUACCAGGACACACCCUGAGUGCUCUUACCUGCUUGCUCCUGCCAGACCUUGCCAUGGGGACAGAGUCCAUCCCCACCACCCACUUUGGAAAUCCUGUCUAUUCCAGCCCAGGUCAAAAGACUUGCUUCCCCAAAGCUUUCAUGGGUGCCCCUGUCCCUUGCUUGCCCCCACAGAGUGGGUUCAUGCCUCCCUUUGCAUCCUUGUACUGGGCAGUUGAUCUGUGUCAUUAGUGCUCCUGACACCUCCCCUCCACAUGCUGUGUGGCCAGGGUCCAGCCCAGCCAGCACACGUGGUGAGCGGAUGACCCAUGGGCCACCAUAGGGCUGAGUCAGGGUGACCCUACCGGGAAGGCUCUCCUUUUCUGCCAACCUAGGGCGCUGGGGAGAGAGACAAAUCUGGGUGGUGGUGGUGGGUCCAUUCUCUAGAUCAGAGGUGGCCUACUUUUCCCAGAAGGGGGCCAUUUAAAGUCAUAGAUAGUCACAGGCCUGCUUGCAAGACAGUGGCACUUUCAGCAUCCGAUAAAGACAGACCCACUCUGAAUUCCCAAAAAGUCUGAGAGGAAUUUGCAUUCUAUGACAGCAGUAUGGAGAGGGCUGGAAGCGGUGGAAGGAAUCUUUGAUGUACGAAUAACCGCGGGCUGGGGACUGGGCAGAUCUUCAUCCGUACUUGUGGGCACUGGACUCCCGGGGGCUUUCUGAACCUACCCACGCGAGGAUUUCGCUGUAGCCCCUAGAGGUGGAUGCCACAGGCUGGGAUGGCCAUUCAGGACAGGGGAGGGGACCUGCCAUGGCAGCCUCUGCCAGCUCCCCUGGGCCGGGUCUUCAGGGGGAGGAGGACUAAGGGCUCCAAUGUGCCCUCAGGAGACGCCCUGCUCUCAGCUCCAGUACGUGGCUGGCUGGGCCCCCUGUUUCCAGAGUUCACCAUCCAGGGGCUAGGCACACAGGGGCGCCGCCCCCCCACCCCCCCAGUUGCCCCUGCUCCUGGGGAAGUGAAACAGCCCGGGGCCCUGGUGGAACCUCCUGGCUGCACCUGGCAGCCGAUCCCAGGAACGCAGCCUGCAAAGCCCGCUGGGCUGACCUCUGCACACCCUCCCGCGGCGCCGUGCCAGGCCUUACUCAUGCUCUGGCAGUGCCAGGACCUCUCUCGGAGGCGGGGCCAACAGUGGCUUCCCGGCCCUGCGCCAGGCCCAGGCCUGCACCCUAAGCACAGCUCCUGGAUCCAGGAACCGCCUCUCUUUACGGCCGGGAGAGGGCGGCCGGAGAGGGCGAGAGCCCCGCCCAGGGUCACCCACCAAGCCAAGGAACCAGUGGGCAGCAUAAGGAGCAGCCAGAACUGGGCGCCAAGCAGCCUGGGUUCGAACCCCCGCGCUGCCCGGUCGCUAGCAGCAAGACCUCGGGAAAGUUACCCAACCACCGCGAGCCUCAGUUUUCCUGUAAGGAAACAGCCGAUCUCCGUGAAUAACUCCCCUUUCCACCUUCCUGGGAUCCCUGGAGGCAAACAGCCAGGGAGGAGGGCAGCCGGCCGGGAAGCGCGGAGUCACCACCGCCUUCUCUUCUCCUGCGCUCGCUCAAGGAGGUGGCCGUGGGGAGGGGUCUGCGCCCCGCGGGAGGCGCCAGGGUGGGCGGCCCGCCUUCUCCGGGCCCCCGACUGUGGGGUGAGGGCGAGAGGCCGCUGGGGGCCGGGAAGGUUCGAGGAGUCCCCAGGAGGUCUCUCCUUGCAGCCCCCGCCCGCCGGCGCCCAUUACACAGACACCGGGGCCGCCGCCUGGGUUCGGCCGCCCCGGGGGGGGGGGCGGGAGGGGGGCGUGUGCGUGUGCGUCUCCACUGGCAACGGCGCGGUCGCCGGGCAACCCGCGCGCCCCAGGCCCGCCGCGCCCCGGGGAGCCCCGAGGGGGAGGAACGGGGAGGGGGAACCCUGCAGCUCAGCUCAGCGCAGCGCGCCCCACCCCCCCGCCCGGGCUGGGGGUGCCUAUGGCAGCGGGGAACCUGCAUAGUCAGCUCCGGAGCCGGAGCCGGGGUGGCCGCUCGCAGGAGCUGCUCGCGGGGGCAGGGCACCUGGGCGGCCACGCGCGGCACAGAGGGAGGCAGGAAACGCAGGCCUCACUGGGACCCUGGCAAGCUCCUUCCUCCCCGGGAAAUCGAGGCAGCAAAGCCUCCAGGCCUCCUCCUGAGGCUAGGUGAGGAGGAGGGGCCGCAGGUGCCAGGGCCUGGUGAGUGGCAGACGAUUGCGCCAGCCGGGUGCUGUGCCCGUGGAGGAGGGAGCAGUGUCAGGGUGUGGGAUCCUGGAUGUCUAAGGUGAGGUCCAACUCCCGGCUGGUCCCUCUGGGGGCAGAGGGCAGCGGCGAGGACCUGCCUCCCAGAGGCCCCCAGGAUCACCCACAGAGCUGGGCAGGGUUGCAUUUUUCCGCUUGGGGUGCCUGCGUUCUAGGGCAACAUCAACCACUUCCUGCACUGGCCUGAUUUGAUGUUUAGUCACCGCUUGAGGCCACACGCUCCAACAGAAAAGCCACAGGAUUCCACAUCUCAAACCCCCAAACCCAAACCCAGAUUGUGGUCGGUGAACAGGAAGACAGCCUGUGCCAGGACCCUGGGAAGAGGGGCAUCUGGGAGCUAGAGGGGUGAAUCACGGUCCACCCCUCUCCUGGACCAGCGGCCGGGUCCAGCUCAGCAGCGCAUCUUGCGCACCUGCAAAUUCAGCUCUUGCUUUCACAGACCCCAACCCAUAUCAUUUCCCCAAGGGCCCGGUCCAGGCACUGGGAAGAGUGCACAGGUUGUGACCGCAGGUGGCAGAGUGCCGGUGCCACCACUCCAUGCUUGGCAGCCUUGGGGCAUGCUGGUCUUCUCUGAGCCUCUCAUCUGGACAUGGGCCGCCCCCCCACCAGGGGUUAGUGAGACUUGUUAGGCCCAUGUAACCCCUCAGUGCGUGUUUGGGGGCCUGACAGUGGCUCAGGAAAGGAUCCACCCUCUGGAACCCCCAGCCUGGCCUCAGAGGAGCUCCAUCGGGCAUUACCACCUCCCAGCUGGAUGACCUUGAGCAGUUUCGUUUCUCUGUUUGGUGAAGCCCUGAUGGGUGUGUCCCAGGCCCCGGCCCGGCCUGCUCUCCCGCCGGCCCCGCCCUGCCCGCUUCUCAGCUGCUCAAAAGCAAUUUUUCAAGAACAAAAAGGUCAGCACGUCCAGGACUAAUCAAUUCUCGGAGAGCUCCUGCCGCCACCGCCGAGGGAGCCGGGGACCGGCGGCCCCGCCUUUCCCGCCAGCCCUCUCCCACCAGCGCCAUCACUUUUAUUGCUCCAUGAUGCCUGUCAUUAGCAGGGUGUUUGAGAUGCCCCACAGUGUUCUUACAACAUAAAACUCGGGCGACUUGCAGAAGGGGGGGCCUGACGCGUUGAUGGCCACUGGCGGCUCCGGACAGUAACAGCCCAGCUGAUGGAUCAGCUGCAAAGGGCGGCCAGGACAACAAGCAUCCAGCCCCUUGUUCAAAAGCUCGGCUGCAAAGAGACACGCUGGAAGAGCUGGGGCCCCACAUGCCUGCUCUCAGCCCUGGCCCUCAGUCCUGCAAAUCCCCCAUCAUUGUGACCUUGGGCACCUGCCCACUGUCACCCCUUCCAAACUUUUCCUCUCAAGGCUGCGCUGGUCCCCACUGCAUCCCUGUUGGGGGGCAGAAUACUCCUUCCUGAGCAUCCCCCCACCCCCCAACACAAUGCCAGGCCCCACCCCCCUCCAACACAGUGAGGCCGUUCCAUAGUGCCAUUCCGGAUGGGAAACUGAGACCCAAUGUCACCAAAGUGGGAAAGAGCAGUUGCAGAUCCAAACAGUUAUGUGACCUGCCUGGGAUGAUACGCAUGAGCUGUGCCCAGUGGGGAACCAGGUCUGCCGUUCCAGGCCCCCAGCUGUCCUUGUCCCAUAUCGUCUUGACGUCUGAUGCCUGUGACAACAGCAGCUAAAAUGCAGCACGCCUUCCAGGGCAGACCCCACACUCAGCACUUGGCGUGGACGCCCGCCCCAUCCCCACGACGACCCUAUUAUGAGGCUUCUUACACCCAUUUUACAGAUGGGGAAACCGACACAGGGCACUACAGUACUGUGCUCGAGCCCACAUGGCUGGAUACACGCGGGGGACUAGACCCCAAAUGUCUGCGUUUUGCUCUUUUAAAAAUGGCUUAGGAUAAGAAAUAUCCAAAAUUGGCAAAUCCACAGGUGCAGAAGGCAGAUUGGUGGUCGCCAGGGGCUGGGGGCGGGGAACAGGGAGAAACUGCUUAAUAGGUAUGGGGUUUCCUUCUGGGCAGUGAGAAUGCUCUGGAACUAGAUAGUGGCGGUGGUUGCACAGCAUCGUGAAUGUACUAAAUGCUACUGAAUCGUUUGCUUUGACGUGGCUAACUUUACGUUCUGUGAACUUCACUUCAAUAAAUUCUUUUUUUUAAAAA
ensembl:lncRNA